GCCUCUGUAGGUCAAGGCAGACCACCUGAAAAUAAUAACUCGCGAGUUCACUGGAUGUCUCUUCAGGAGAUGUGGGUUCAAUUCCCACCGGAAGCA